GGCAAUGACCGGGGGUACAACCUCCUUUUCGGUAAAAAAAAUGCUGGGCGAUGAUGCUGACUCUGGCUGAAAUAAACAUGUCUUGAGCAAUCAAGACUGUUGUGGCCUGUGGGCACUAAAUUAGAGCCCACCCUUGCCUCUCUUGCAGCCUGUUCAAUUCAUCGGUAAUGUUGGAUGUUCUUCACCUCGGAUGGUCAUUCUGACGAGUGAUAACCAGGGCAGUUCGUCUACAUUGCGAUGGGUAUGUUAUGCAACAAGAGAUGUGAGUGUUGGGCUUGAAGAUCAAAGACAAAACUGAGCCCUCUUUUGCUAUGCUAUAAAUACACAAAUUUUCCUUAUCUAUUAUACAAUGUUCUUCCUUCUUUUAUAUUCCUCUAUUUGUGUUUAUGUGAGUGAAGAUCCAUCUGGACUUGGGAUUUUUUUUUUGGUGACGAACACGACCACCCUAAGUUUACAUGACUUGAUUCAUGGUCUCGCUGGCCAUUUUCCAUGGCGCCGCCGGCGCCGACUCCAUGGCUUUCGCUUCUCACCUAGCCAAGGUGAGCUGGUGCCGGCUACUGCUAGUGGCAGUACCAUCUCUUAGCGUCAACUAAUGGCAUCAGCACAUUUUUUUUGCUCUAGGAGAAUUUGCUGUCGUUUCCCAAGGUAAUCUGAUUCUCCAUCAUGUUUGCCUGGGCAAUUCUGUUCCUGUUGUCUCCACCCUGUCCAACUGAGGUACCAGCAGCUAGAUUGAAUACAUCCAGCGCACAAUCAGUUCCCUGUGUUGCCAAAUCAAUCAAUCCAACAAGGGAGGGAGAGCUCCUUCACAAUUUCAUCUAGAUCCACCCAUAUACUCCCUCCGUUCCGAAUUACUUGUCGCAAGUAUGGAUGUAUCUAGAUGUAUCUAGAUGUAUUUUAGUUCUAGAUACAUCCAUUUCUGAGACGAGUAAUUUGGAACGGAGGGAGUAUGUGUUAAUGUUAAAGAUCUGGAUCAAUCUCAUGUUCCCGUAGCGUGUCACCAGUUGUUCUGUCGAUGCUUUCAAGAAAAUACGUAGUAUAAUUUACAGCCGAACGCCCUUGUUUUACUCCCAUUUUUAUUUAUUUCGAGUGUUCCUACACCUACUCCGCGGAUCUUGUAAUUUAGAAUCUGCAUGUACCACUGUAUUAGGCACAGUCCAAAUGCUUGAACAAUCUGAAAUUAUAACUAGACUCUGAAUGCUACCAUCAUAUAUAAAUCUGAUAAAUUUUUGUGCCUACAGUUGUACCAUGGCAUCAAUAGAGCUUGUGCUUGUGUAAUAGUACUUCAUAAUUCAUUUUGAUCAAAUGUAUACAGAGGUUGCAGAGGCUAUGGAAGAAAUGCGAACUUACUUACCUGAGAAAAGUGCAUUGGAUUGUGACGAUGAUGACAGUGGAGGUUCGCCAUUGCAACAGAAGAAGAAAACAUUGAGCCCUGCUAAAACCUCUGACCCUCCCCCGAUCCCUAUCUCUCGUGUCUUCGGUGAGGAUGGCAUGUGGCCGCCGCGUGUAGGACAUCAUCGUCGUGGAAUGGAUCAGCUAGCGACGAGGUCUCCGUCUUCGUCACACGCCUAUCAGUCGUGGGUGCCUCUGCCGCCCGCAGAGGCCUGCUCCACUGCGGAAUGCGGUGCUCAGAUUUGGUGUCCGAGUUGGAGCUUGCAUACUCAUUGCCAUAUCGAUAAAACCAUCCAUGUAAUUGAAUGAAGGCUUGGUUCUUGCAAUUUUAUCUCCACUGAGUGAGAAGAUAUACUUGAAAAGUUGGGGCCUUCAAGUCAUUGAAUGACAGCUCGAUCCUCUCUUUUCUAGAGCCGUUAUACAUUUCCGACCCUGGAGAUAAUCAAAUGACGUAGCAGUUAAAAUCGUGAUAUAAUUGAAACUUAAAUUGUGUGUAGAAUCUGAAGUAUGUGCUUUAUGACUUUGAUCUUAAGCUUCUGAAGUAUCAUGAACAGGGCUACUAUUUCAUACUCCCUCCGUCCCAAAAUAAGUGACUUGACUUUGUACUGUACAAUUUACUGGCUUAGGUAGGUGCACGCGCCUUCUCGAGAUUCUGCUCGCACGAUGCGAGUCGGGCGGUUGGACUGAUUUCCUUGAUGGACUACGAUCGAAUCUGAAAGUGGCGCUUGCGCUGUGUUUUGUGUAGCAAGUAUGUUACUUGGUGUAGUUCUUUCAAUUAUGAAACGUAUUUGCGGUAUCAUAUGAGAGGUGGGAUUUGCUUGGUCCCGGUUUCGUCGUGGGCAGAGCUUUAUUAGUAUUCCUUGUCGGUCCAUGUCGUCUAGAUAACCAGGUAAUGUCUUCCCACAUAGCAGAAUCUUGCAAAGUUAGCAUUGAAUUUGUUUGCGUUAAGAUGUGUUUUGUUUCUACAGAUUCAGUUUUUCAACAUGGUUGCCUCAUGUCUAUGUCCAUGGUUACUGAGGCAAGUAGUAUUGUUCUUCAUUUUCCAAUUAAAGCGAAUAGUUGCACGAGCAAUUGCUAUAUGAGCCACCCAAUUCCAAAUGCAAAUGAUUCCCACUCAAUUCAGAUUAUUUUACCACAAAAGCAACUUGGCCGCAAGUCAGAAAUUUGACGACUUUCUAUCUGGCUCUCAAAUAAUUAUCGCUGGAUCUAAAUUUCUAAAUUAAGUAUCUGUUGUUUCACUGUGACAAGUAUGUUGGUAUACAUUUGCUAGGUAUGUCUUAUGUUGCUCGUACAAUCGCAAUGGCGUGCCAAAAGGGAGGUUAUUUUCAUCUGUGUCUGCUGAAGCAUAGACUGAUAACCCACCGUCCGAACUAAAGCCUGGAAUUGAUCUAUGUUUUUUUAUAUGUAUGACAGAUAUGAACCAGUUAAAUUUUUUGAGCAACCAUAUGAACCAGUUAAUGAACCUUCUCUUUAUAAUUGUUGUCAAAUCAGCAAGUUUUGCUUUAUAUGAGAAUACAGUGUUAGUCUCAUGUUGUAGAUGUUCAUGGCCUUUGUUUUUUCUCUUUGCAGAGUUAUGAUGCUACUACUCACUUUGAGACAACUGUGACAGGUGUUCUUAACACUUUCGGCAAAAGUGCUGACAUUUCUUCAGCUUUAUAUAUGCAUGAGUGAGCCUAAGCUUUUUCUGUUCAAAUACUCCAUGUUUUCCCUCAGUUUUUUGUUGUGCACCUGUGGGAUAGAUGAUGAUAAGUUGAUAAGCUUCUUUAUCUUUUCUUUGGGACCUAGGUAUUGAUGUUAGUAUUUUGUAUCAUUAUCUUAACCUUGGUAGACUGAUGGUUAGCGUCAGGCAAUCGCAGAGAUUUAUUGAUUUUUAUAGUCCCCUUCUGUAUAAAUCUUAUAUUUGUUCUGUUCGUCAUGAGUGAAUAAUUACCUAAUUGUUGUUAAUCUGAGUUUACAUUUUCAUAUUUAUUCAUCAAUAUGGCUUCUGGGUGGCAAGAUUAGCUGAUUUAAAGCAUUCUCUUUGGGCAAACAUUAGUCACUGCUACCCCAAAACCUGCAGAACAAGCUUGUUGUACAAUUGUUUUAACUCACAUAUAAGGGGCAAAUAAGCACGAAUGGAAAAGGAACACUUAAGAUUUCUUUAGUUGUGCUCAUUUUACAUUAGUGGACAAAGUUACAUAAGUUUGCCUGUACCACUACUGAUAUCAGCGAUUAAAUUUAUAUGCUUUUUAGUUCUAUAGGCUGAAAGUGAUGUUGAGGUUCUAAACAUUCCGUUUGACUGGAUUUUCUUCUCGAUGUGCAGCUAAAUUAGUCUUUCAGUUUGUUAACUUAGAUGAUAAGAAUUAUAUAUUAGUGUGUAAUUUUCAUUUGUUGGUGCUGAAGGUAUAGAUGGUGUUUGGUGUCCUUUUUUCUUUCUCCAAUUAGACAUUGUUAGUGUUUCUGUGAAGAUACAACUAGAAUUGCUCCGUUCGCUAGAUAACAUGUUCAGUUCUGGACGGUGGCACCUUUUAUUGUAUCCAGAUUCUGUUUACCUCUUUCUGAUUUGAUGUAAUGACUUAGUUACUUUGUACAUGUUGGAUUCUCCUUCGAAAAACCUUUGUACUCCCUCUGUCCCAUAAUAUAAGAGCGUUUUUUACACUAGGGAGUACUUGAUAUUGAAAUGGCAGGAUAAUCAAGCUUCCUUUCUGUACUGGAAGAAGCCAAACAGUGUGUAGUUACAAACAUCUUUGGUACCAUCUGUCGGUUUAGGGCGACCAUGAGCGCGUUCCCUUCUCUGAGAGUAAAUCCGAUCCACUCAUCUGAGUCAAUGUCGUCUACGAGGGAAAGAAUAUGCGCUUGGUCUCCAUGCUAGCUUAUUCCGUAACACUGAUUUUUUUUGUCUCCAUUGCUUGAUGUUCAUGCACAUGAGUGAUACGUAUUAGGGAAUAAAGCAGAAACACACAUGUACAUACAGUCUGGGUGCGCACAUGACAGAAAUGGGUGGAUAGGUUUAAACACAGUGAUUGUUACUAGCUUUUGUAUCGUUAUCAUGACAAAUAUUAGAGCAGCGAGGGAUUGGUUUCAGGAGAGUAGUAGUGUUAAUAACAACAUUUACAGUUAGUCUGCAUACUAAAUUCCAUACAAAUGUUUCAAACUAACGGUAUCUGUUAGGGUUUCCACUUGUGACGAAUGCAUUAGUCUGCACUCUUUAGAGUACCGGUUUAUAUCUUCCCAUUCCCCCCUCCCCCAUGUAUAUGUAUGGUAUUGCAUUGCGGCAGUAGUGGUAGUGGUACGCAACAAUGAACUUGACCCGCAUUGUUGUGCCUGGGACCUUCAGGUCAAAUUCUUCUAUGUCAAUGAGAACCAUGUUGGGAAUGUACCUUUUUCCAAGAAGAUAGCCGCUGGCUUCACCACUGGUACCCUCAUCGUUGUAUUCUCAAUCACUUUUUCCUUCCAUGUGAAAUGAAAUGCGCGCAAGUGGGAGCUACAUGCACCAGGCUGUCUUUUUUAUAUUAUAGUGAUAUAGAUCGCUAAAAUGUCGGUUGAUGCAUACACGUUGUGAUUUAUUUGGUUUUGGAUUGGUGUGGUUUGUAAUUGUUUUCCAAUUCAUGAGAGGGACAUUUUCCUGAAAGCUACAAGCUGUUUCAUUUUUAUUGUAGCUUUUGAAAUUUGAAUAGAACUGCCAUCUUUGAACUGAAGUGAAUAGAAAGGACUGAAAGGAGCUAGGGCACUGCUUCUUACUAUUUGUUUGAUAUUUGCUAUUGAGAUUUAGAAGUUUAUUAUUUUGGUUUUUUUGGUAAAUAUGGAUGUUGAUGUUUCCUCUCUUUUUCUAACCGCUACCAAUGUAACAUGUUGUUUGGUAUGUGCUAGCUAUAUUCAUAAAAUUCAUCUUUUACUGUUUAUAUGAUAAUCAUUAUUGUUGGCAUCAGAAGCUAUGAGUGGAUUUAUGUUAAGUGUCGACUCAUGUUUUGGUUUCUAUUCAUCGACCAAUAUCUGAUGUCAGCUUUUAUUUACAUACAUAACGUAUGGUUAUCCUUUUGUGUUGUGGUACACAAAAGAUGUGAUUUUUUUAUGGUCCAUAAUUCUCUGAUAGGAUUUCCCUGGUUUCUUUGCUUUGAAAACAACAUUGAUUCAUAACCUGAUUGCGACUGCAGGCUCAGAUAUUGAAGUGCACCAAUGUACAACUAUUGUUAGUUCAUCAGUCUACUUACAUUAAGCUGGUGCUGGGGUAUUUAUAUUUUAAUUACUAAUUAGUUAUGCCAAUUUGGUGAUUUAUAAAAAAAUCACUUUUGAUUCUUUGGAAUUUACUAGCCCAUAAUGUCCAUUUCUUUGGCUCCUACAAAAAAGUACAUUGCUUUGCAAAGUUAACUUCUAUAGGAGCUCUGAUUUGCAAACUUAACUAUCUAACGGUUUGGCAUGUUCUGAGAACCAAUAAAAGUUCUUAGUAUUCCUAGAUCAAAGCAACUAGCCCCCCUCCCCCUGACGCUUGAGCGGGCAAUGAUGAAGACGAGCGUCAGCUCGGAGGGGUUGCCGAGGGUGAUGGGGAUGUCGGGGUGGACGUGACGUGGAUGAAUGCAUCACAAAGUUGUACAUGUAGAUGAACUACAGCGGCAUGUCUUGGGGCUGCAAUACAACGACAUGAUGAAGAGGAGCAUCUGGUAGAUAUAGACAUAGUGUUAAGAUUGCUUGUUUAUUUGCUGAAUUUCACUUUUGGACAACCAUCAUAUGUAAUGCAUCAGCUGUACAUGCAUGUGCGUUAUCAAUCAGAGCUAAAAUCCAAUGGAAAGGGCGACAGCCUAUCUGGCACCGCACAAGCUUUCUCUCAGGAGGCGCCGCGGUUCCUUUGCAUGGAGAAAAUCCACUGGACAGUAAAGUCUUGCCGUUGGUUCCUUUGUUAUACGAGGAGAGUCUGGCAAGUUAUCCUCCUGCGCAGAGUUCAUGGGGUUUGCACCAGUUAGAUCAUCGUUAGCUAUAUACUCUAGCAAUUUGAUACAACUUCGUUUUUGUGCACAUUAGGUUGUUUGUCCAAACUAUAAUGCAAUGCUCCCUUAGUUUGUUUGAAUAUACUAUUUAUUAGUUAGUUUGAAUAUACAGCAAGAGCACGAGACUUACACCGAUUGCCACUAGUUAAAUAUAGUCUAGCAGUUAUGUGUUUUCUGUGUUUGUGUUGUAAUACUUUUCUUGUGAUGAAUAGUAUGGGCGACAGGUGAAAACGGGAUUUCAGUGAAAAUCUGGAAACUCGCCUCAUGGAGCAUUAGAUCCACAGGGAACGGCAGUGGCGGAGGACGGACAAAAGUUGAGGUAGGGCGGGCUUUAGCCACUCGCCACCAGCAAGGCCGAUGCGCCGCCUUGCACCCUGCCUGCACCGGACAAAUCAAGACAAAGUCCAAUUUACAGAGCAAUAUAGUCUACUGCCGGCCACUGUUGUACAUGCUGCAGUAUACCGACGAAGCGGCGAACAGAAAGACCAAUUCAGAUGCUUCAAAAGUAUCAAUUGAAGAAGGAAAACAAUGACGUUGAGGUUACCAUGAUUCACCUACUGAAUUAGUAGUACAAGGAGGGGUACGAGGAGGCUGAGGCAAUAAAACUAUGAUGUCAUAGUAGUACAAUUAGUACCUGAAUCAAAUGAUGUACUAUGUUGCUUACCUGUGCAAGGCUACAACUACAAGGAGGGUGAGGCAUGAUAGGCGAUGGAGGAGCGGCUGGUUUGAAGCGUCCGGCUGUAGAUCCUCUUAUAGCCCAAUGGUUCGAGUCUGACUUGAUGUUUGGCAGAAACCAAGACACAGCUAUUUCAAAUUAAAUGUUGAUGCGGAGUAUGAUAAUGACACCCUGGCUAUUUCAAAUUAAAUGUUGAUGCGGGGUAUGAUAAUGACACCCUAGCAGGAACGGACGGAGCAGUGAUCUGAUACCAUCAUGGUAAAUUUAUUGCUUCUGCCAACAAAUCUUUGUUUUAGUUCGUUCACAGUUGAAGCCAUUGUGAUAAGGUUUGGUUUGAAUCUUGAUUGUAUAGUCGGAUGCAGUAGAUUGAGCUCAACUCGGAUAGUACCGAGGUGGUGACUGCAUUGAACAAUGGAUAUUCUUCUUCAGUUGCUUCUGCCAUCAUUGAUGAUUGUUAUUUCAUGUCAUUAGAUUUUACUCAUGUCAUGAUAUGACCAUUGUAAUAGAGAGUGCAAUUGAGUAGCUCAUGAACUAGCUAGAAUAGCUAGAUUUUCUCCUCCGAGUGUUUGGUUGGAUAAUGCCCCUGGUGAGGUUGUCACUUUCCUUGUAAACGAUGCCACAUUAUUUUUGAAUGAAUAAAGGAGGAGAUUAUUGUAAAAAA